UACGUAGGGGGCGAGCGUUGCCCGGAUUCAUUGGGCGUAAAGCGCGUGUAGGCGGCUCGGUAAGUCUGCUGUGAAAGUCCAGGGCUCAACCCUGGGAUGCCGGUGGAUACUGUCGAGCUCGAGUCCGGAAGAGGCGAGUGGAAUUCCUGGUGUAGCGGUGAAAUGCGCAGAUAUCAGGAGGAACACCAAUGGCGAAGGCAGCUCGCUGGGACGUGAACUGACGCUGAGACGCGAAAGCGUGGGGAGCAAACAGG
rnacentral:rRNA from 1 species